UACGGAGUGUGCAAGCGUUACUCGGAAUCACUGGGCAUAAAGCGCGCGUAGGCGGGUAUUCAAGUCGGUUGUGAAAUCCCCCAGCUCAACUGGGGAACUGCAUCCGAUACUGUCUGUCUUGAGGACGAGAGGGGAGAGUGGAACUUCUGGUGGAGCGGUGAAAUGCGUAGAUAUCUGGAGGAAUACCGGUGGCGAAGGCGGCAUCCUGGACCGACAUUGACGCUGAGGAGCGAAAGCUAGGGGAGCAAACGGG
rnacentral:rRNA from 1 species